rnacentral:rRNA from 1 species
UACGAAGGGGGCUAGCGUUGCUCGGAAUCACUGGGCGUAAAGCGCACGUAGGCGGAUCUUUAAGUCAGGGGUGAAAUCCCAGAGCUCAACUCUGGAACUGCCUUUGAUACUGUCGAUCUGGAGUAUGGAAGAGGUGAGUGGAAUUCCGAGUGUAGAGGUGAAAUUCGUAGAUAUUCGGAGGAACACCAGUGGCGAAGGCGGCUCACUGGUCCAUUACUGACGCUGAGGUGCGAAAGCGUGGGGAGCAAACAGG